rnacentral:rRNA from 1 species
GCUCAGGAUGAACGCUGGCGGCGUGCUUAACACAUGCAAGUCGAACGGUGAAGCCAAGCUUGCUUGGUGGAUCAGUGGCGAACGGGUGAGUAACACGUGAGCAACCUGCCCUGGACUCUGGGAUAAGCGCUGGAAACGGCGUCUAAUACUGGAUAUGAGCCCCUAUCGCAUGGUGGGGGUUGGAAAGAUUUUUUGGUCUGGGAUGGGCUCGCGGCCUAUCAGCUUGUUGGUGAGGUAAUGGCUCACCAAGGCGUCGACGGGUAGCCGGCCUGAGAGGGUGACCGGCCACACUGGGACUGAGACACGGCCCAGACUCCUACGGGAGGCAGCAGUGGGGAAUAUUGCACAAUGGGCGAAAGCCUGAUGCAGCAACGCCGCGUGAGGGAUGACGGCCUUCGGGUUGUAAACCUCUUUAGCAGGGAAGAAGGAAACGAAAGUGACGGUACCUGCAGAAAAAGCGCCGGCUAACUACGUGCCAGC